UACGGAGGGUGCGAGCGUUGUCCGGAAUCACUGGGCGUAAAGCGCACGUAGGCGGAUCGAUCAGUCAGGGGUGAAAUCCCAGGGCUCAACCCUGGAACUGCCUUUGAUACUGGCUGUCUUGAGUACGGGAGAGGUGUGUGGAACUCCGAGUGUAGAGGUGAAAUUCGUAGAUAUUCGGAAGAACACCAGUGGCGAAGGCGACACACUGGCCCGUUACUGGCGCUGAGGCGCGAAAGCGUGGGGAGCAAACAGG
rnacentral:rRNA from 1 species